GACAGCUGAAUGAUAGUCGGGCUCGAAGACUCUACUUGACUAGCUGAGAGGAGGUGCAUGGCCGUCGUCAGUUCGUACUGUGAAGCAUCCUGUUAAGUCAGGCAACGAGCGAGACCCACGCCAACAGUUGCCAGCUCGUCCUCCGGGAUGGUGGGGACACUGUUGGGACCGCCUCUGCUAAAGAGGAGGAAGGAAUGGGCAACGGUAGGUCAGCAUGCCCCGAAUUAUCUGGGCUACACGCGGGCUACAAUGGGUGGGACAAUGGGUAUCGACACCGAAAGGUGAAGGCAAUCUCCUAAACCCAUCCGUAGUUCGGAUUGUGGGCUGCAACUCGCCCACAUGAAGCUGGAAUCUGUAGUAAUCGUGUCUCAAAAUGGCACGGUGAAUAUGUCCCUGCUCCUU
rnacentral:rRNA from 1 species